rnacentral:lncRNA from 1 species
GUGACACUCUAAGAGGAUGAAUAGGAUGUUCUAACUGUGACACUCUAAGAGGGGGUGAGUAGGAUGUUCUAAUAGCUAAGGCACCUAACAUAUAUAAAAACUUAUAUUAAUUUCUAUCUAGAUGUGCACUAGAUUUUUCUAUGUGUUGUUAUCUCUACCGCAAAAGAGUUUUGCACCCUAGGUUCCAAUCCUAUAAACUACACAAUUCUAGGAAAGGUAAACGCGGAAUUGUAAGUGUAAUAAGAAAUGCGGAAGGUAAAUGAGGUAGAGAAGGCAAACUCCCGACAUGGCGACACGGCAAUUUUCACCGAGGUAUCGGAAAGCAAAGCUUUCCACUAGUCAUCGUUGUUGGAACCCCUCUCAAAGGGAAUGCCCGUGCAAGGGCAUAAACUCUCCGGUCAAGUAACUCCAUAGGAUAGCCGACGGACCCUCCCCACACGUAAGUGGGUCUCCGCUUAGCCUUUCUCAGAUGCUCCUUACCGCUCUUCACUUGGUAGAGCUUCGGCAAAACGCCGAGGGCCUCUCCUCCC